GGCUGGUCCAAGUGCAGUGGUGUUUACAACUAAUUAAUCACAACCAGUUACAGAUUCCCGUGUUCCUUCUCCAGUCCCACUGCUUCAGUUGACUAGCCUUAA
ensembl:misc_RNA Y_RNA Y RNA